rnacentral:lncRNA from 1 species
AAAAUUUCCCACCGCAAAGCAGGGAGUGAUGCUGUGGCGGCUUCGCAUUAUGGUUCCUGCCGACCGCCAGGCGCUGCUACAGUGGAUGCGAACUACCUGUAAGUCAAGAACAUUGCCGCAGUUUGCCUCCGCAGCAUUAUAUCAUGCUGCAGAAACCAGCUCAACUAUGCGAAACUACCACCAGGACUGGCAGACACCAGCAGGGAUUCCAGAGACCACGCUGCAGAGAGCAUACAGAAAGAAAAUUAAGAAAUCAGGUGCAGCAGCAGCCGGAACCCACAGUUCACCUUGGUGCAUUCCUUUAUGA